rfam:Gossypium arboreum cultivar AKA8401 contig_33404_5, whole genome shotgun sequence.
AAACCAUGAUGAGGGCACCAUCUUAAUAUAUCCUUGUAUGUCUCCCAUGCAUCAUAUAAAGUUUCUAAAUCGAUUUGAACAAAAGAAAAGAUGUCAUUCCUCAACUU